GAUGAACGCUGGCGGCGUGCCUAAUACAUGCAAGUCGAGCGAACAGACGAGGAGCUUGCUCCUCUGACGUUAGCGGCGGACGGGUGAGUAACACGUGGAUAACCUACCUCUAAGACUGGGAUAACUUCGGGAAACCGGAGCUAAUACUGGAUAAUAUAUUGAACCGCAUGGUUCAAUAGUGAAAGACGGUUUUGCUGUCACUUAUAGAUGGAUCCGCGCCGCAUUAGCUAGUUGGUAAGGUAACGGCUUACCAAGGCAACGAUGCGUAGCCGACCUGAGAGGGUGAUCGGCCACACUGGAACUGAGACACGGUCCAGACUCCUACGGGAGGCAGCAGUAGGGAAUCUUCCGCAAUGGGCGAAAGCCUGACGGAGCAACGCCGCGUGAGUGAUGAAGGUCUUCGGAUCGUAAAACUCUGUUAUUAGGGAAGAACAAAUGUGUAAGUAACUAUGCACGUCUUGACGGUACCUAAUCAGAAAGCCACGGCUAACUACGUG
rnacentral:rRNA from 1 species